UGCCAGCCGCCGCGGUAAUACGGAGGGUGCAAGCGUUGUUCGGAAUCACUGGGCGUAAAGAGCGUGUAGGCGGCUUAGUAAGUCAGGUGUGAGAGCCCAUGGCUCAACCAUGGAAGUGCAUUUGAAACUACUAAGCUUGAGUCCGAGAGAGGAAAACGGAAUUCCUGGUGUAGAGGUGGAAUUCGUAGAUAUCAGGAAGAACACCGGUGGUGAAGGCGGUUUUCUGGAUCGGUACUGACGCUGAGACGCGAAAGCGUGGGGAGCAAACAGGAUUAGAUA
rnacentral:rRNA from 1 species